AUUCUUAGUUGUUCACAAUCUAACACUCAUUUACAAUGAGGGGACUGGUAACAGCAGCAGGGCCCCUUCUACCCUCAGAGCGGACGUCCUUCCAAUACCGCUCACAGGCCUGACAGACUCCACCAGGAGGUGGCGGUGUUCCUAUUUUGCUCACUGACCUAUCCCAUAUUAUCAGAACAGCAGCUGGCACACCAGCACUCAGGGCUGCAAAGAAAAUGGGUGGGGGAAGCCCUAAGCUCCCACUGGGGGCCACACUUGGAGAUCAAGAGGUCCACUGCGGAGAGAGGUGAUUUUUAUGCACUUGCAAAUUUAACAGCUGGACUCUGACCUUCACAGAAAUGGAACCACAGCGGAUGUAUUCUUCUGCAAUUUGCUUUUCCAACCACCAAGAUCCAUCCGUGUUCACACGUGUAGCUGCAGCUCAGUCUGACUUCCGUGCAAUUCCACUGUAGGAAUGGGCCAUGGAAUCUAUCCAGUGGACUGCUCAAGGACAGGCAGGGUCUUUCCAGUUUGUUUUUGUUUCCCUUUUCUUCCUAUUACAAACAGUGCUGUUAUGACAUUUUCACAUCCACGUCCUGACACACACGUGUAAGAGUUUCGCUAGGGUAUGUAUCUAGGAGCGGAAUAGCCACAGAGAGGUUAGGGCACAGUCACUUAAGCCAAACUACUUCCCAAAGCUGUUGUUCCUAAAAGUUCUUCUAUCUGUUGCUGUUGACAACUGAGCUACUUGGGAGGGCUGAGAAGAAACAGAUCAACUAUGACUCUCAAACUGCAUUUUCAAAGUAGGAAAUUUAAAAAUCUGAUACAACAAUGAAUAACACAUUGACUUCUCUGCUUUGGUUUACUUGAAAUGUAUUUUUAAAAACUACAUGUUAAAACUUAAAAGGGCGGUCUCCUAAAUCUCAAAUGUUUCUAAAUAUACGGAGUGAAAACAGCAAGAUUCAGAACAUAUGGUGUACUUCAUAUAUAAAAAAAGGUCUAUACAUAUAUGCUUAUAUCCCCCACCACCCACCUCCCUCCAGAAAGAAUAACUGUUAACAGUAGCUCCUGGAGAGGAAGAACAGAGGGACAGGAAAGAGAGAGAGACCACUUAACUCUUCUGCUGUUUUUUGAACCACGUACAGGCAUUACAAUUAUAACAUAAAAUUCUUUAAAAGUAGUCACCUGGGGUUCUUUCAUAAACAACUAAAAAUCAGUCUGAACUCACACUUGAAAAUCAGCCGUGAACGAAGUCCCAUCCCACAGAAAAUAUACACAAUAUAUUCUCAAGUGUUUUCCUUGUUUCAUGCACUUUAGAGUAAUGUUUAAAAUU